rnacentral:rRNA from 1 species
UAGUCCACGCUGUAAACGAUGAUUACUCGGUGUUUGUAUUUAUAUGAGCAUCCAAGGGAAACCGUUAAGUUAGCCACCUGGGGAGUACGUUCGCAAGAAUGAAACUCAAAGGAAUUGACGGGGGUCCGCACAAGCGGUGGAGCAUGUAGUUUAAUUCGAUGAUACGCGAGGAACCUUACCUGGGCUCGAACGCAACUGGACCGCUCCUGAAAGGGAGCUUUUCUUCGGAACCGGUUGUGAGGUGCUGCAUGGUUGUCGUCAGCUCGUGCCGUGAGGUGUUGGGUUAAGUCCCGCAACGAGCGCAACCCUCAUCUUUAGUUGCCAGCAAGUCAUGUUGGGGACUCUAAAGAAACUGCCUACGCAAGUAGUGAGGAAGGGGGGAUGACGUCAAAUCAUCAUGGCCUUUAUGCCCAGGGCUACACACGUGCUACAAUGGACGGUACAAAGGGCAGCAAGACUGCGAAGUCAAGCGAAUCCCAAAAAGCCGUUCUCAGUUCGGAUAGGAGUCUGCAACUCGA